rnacentral:lncRNA from 1 species
GCCUACAACAAGAAGAAUUGUGCAGUUUUCAAAUGGGAAGGACCAAAUGCCCGUGUCGUGUACAUUGAUGAAGGGUUUGAUCUUUUUCAUGUUGGACAUGUUGAAGUAUGUAGCUUGUUGAUUUCUUAUCUUUAUGACUCAUUAUGAUGGUCCAUUAGAUAUGUUCACCCUCAUCUCUUUUCAAACUUUUGGCACCUCCGAAAGGUAGAGCUUUUAGAAGGCUUGAAAUUGUUUCUCCGCACCUACAUUUUUGAAAGUCACACAUCGAAACACAUGUUCAGUAAAGUGUGUUGGAUAACAUCUUUUUAUACGCCUAAGACGAACCUGGAUGGAAUCCAGUUGGUUCGUGCCAUUAUGUACACAAAGUUUUUGAUGACUUUGUAAAAUGGAGGUGGCAGCCAUUUGGAUGUAUAUUAUGGUGGUGGAGCUCCUCCACCAUUCUUUCCCUCGAUUGUUGCAUCUCCAACUCCUCAUUUAUCAUCAUCAAUCAAAGUUAGUUAGUUAUUUGUUUGUUAGAUUUUGAGAUUAAUAGAUAUACUGAUGUAUGCUUAUGCAACUUAUUUUUGCAAUCUAUGAUGCCACCAUCUGGAGCUUGAGUUCC